CCUGCGGAGGGAUCAUUACCGAGUUUACAACUCCCAAACCCCUGUGAACAUACCUUAUGUUGCCUCGGCGGAUCAGCCCGCGCCCCGUAAAAAGGGACGGCCCGCCGCAGGAACCCUAAACUCUGUUUUUAGUGGAACUUCUGAGUAUAAAAAACAAAUAAAUCAAAACUUUCAACAACGGAUCUCUUGGUUCUGGCAUCGAUGAAGAACGCAGCAAAAUGCGAUAAGUAAUGUGAAUUGCAGAAUUCAGUGAAUCAUCGAAUCUUUGAACGCACAUUGCGCCCGCCAGUAUUCUGGCGGGCAUGCCUGUUCGAGCGUCAUUUCAACCCUCAAGCCCAGCUUGGUGUUGGGAGCUGCAGUCCUGCUGCACUCCCCAAAUACAUUGGCGGUCACGUCGAGCUUCCAUAGCGUAGUAAUUUACACAUCGUUACUGGUAAUCGUCGCGGCCACGCCGUUAAACCCCAACUUCUGAAUGUUGACCUCGGAUCAGGUAGGAAUACCCGCUGAACUUAAGCAUAUC
rnacentral:rRNA from 1 species